AACGAACGCUGGCGGCAGGCCUAACACAUGCAAGUCGAGCGAGGACUUCGGUCCUAGCGGCGGACGGGUGAGUAACGCGUGGGAACGUGCCCUUUGCUUCGGAAUAACCCUGGGAAACUGGGAGUAAUACCGGAUGAGCCCUUUGGGGGAAAGAUUUAUCGGCGAAGGAUCGGCCCGCGUUGGAUUAGGUAGUUGGUGGGGUAAUGGCCUACCAAGCCGACGAUCCAUAGCUGGUUUGAGAGGAUGAUCAGCCACACUGGGACUGAGACACGGCCCAGACUCCUACGGGAGGCAGCAGUGGGGAAUCUUAGACAAUGGGGGAAACCCUGAUCUAGCCAUGCCGCGUGAGCGAUGAAGGCCUUAGGGUUGUAAAGCUCUUUCAGCUGGGAAGAUAAUGACGGUACCAGCAGAAGAAGCCCCGGCUAACUCCGUG
rnacentral:rRNA from 1 species